GGCAGUAAAGCGACUAUAACAGCGAACUGAUGUUCCGUGUUAUUAGUACUCCUGCCAUUGAGUGUUGGAGGUGCGACGCGAGAAGGGAGUUAAACCCGAGGAGGACAACCUCAGCCCAGGAGAAGAUGUCUCCCCUUCGUCUGGCGACCAUGAAAGAAGCUCGGUCAUCCAGGAGGGGCUCAGAGUAGAGCCACUGCUCCUCCACAUUGGGGAGAGCCAGAAGAGGUGGCUCGGGCGUCUGAUCCGGAUGCCUCCCGGACGCCUCCCUGAUGAGAUGAGAGCUGAUAACCUGUACAUAAAUGACUCAUUCCAGAUAAUGAGGACGGUGAGGAUCAGAACUGCUGCCACCAAAACAACACAGAACACACUCCACCACUCCAAAGACUGAAGCGAGAUCACAGCUUGGGAUAUGAA